rnacentral:rRNA from 1 species
GGGGAAUAUUGCACAAUGGGCGCAAGCCUGAUGCAGCCAUGCCGCGUGUGUGAAGAAGGCCUUCGGGUUGUAAAGCACUUUAAGCGAGGAGGAGGCUACUCUAGUUAAUACCUAGGGAUAGUGGACGUUACUCGCAGAAUAAGCACCGGCUAACUCUGUGCCAGCAGCCGCGGUAAUACAGAGGGUGCGAGCGUUAAUCGGAUUUACUGGGCGUAAAGCGUGCGUAGGCGGCUUUUUAAGUCGGAUGUGAAAUCCCUGAGCUUAACUUAGGGAUUGCAUUCGAUACUGGUCAGCUAGAGUAUGGGAGAGGAUGGUAGAAUUCCAGGUGUAGCGGUGAAAUGCGUAGAGAUCUGGAGGAAUACCGAUGGCGAAGGCAGCCAUCUGGCCUAAUACUGACGCUGAGGUACGAAAGCAUGGGGAGCAAAC